CCGGGCAGCAGAGCCUACCGGUUGAUGUCUCAAACGCGUUGUGCUUGUUUUGUCCAGCAGAGGGGGCUGCUCGAUAUAGUAGAAGAAAAAGAGUGAAUGAAGCUGCUAACUAUUUGCUGGGAGCUAGUUUUAGAGAGACCUGCUGUGGAAAACUCAGCCAGAAGCUAGCAAGUGUCAAGUGAAUCCACAACAUUACCACAAACAAACAAGCCAGAGAGUGGAGAGGAGGAAGACUGGAUAAGAAGAGUGAAAGAGAGAAAAGAUUGGAGAGGAAGGAGAAGGAAAAAUGAAGAGAGUAAAAAGAGUGAAGUGAUGAGAUUGCAGAAGAUUGAGGUGGAAAUUUGAAGAGAAGGAAAGAAAGAAAGAGCAGUAAGAUGAGUGAAGAAAAGAG